GGAUUAGAUACCCUGGUAGUCCACGCCGUAAACGAUGACAACUAGCUGUUGGGAAGCUAUGCUUUUCAGUGGCGCAGCUAACGUCUUAAGUUGUCCGCCUGGGGAGUACGGCCGCAAGGUUAAAACUCAAAUGAAUUGACGGGGACCCGCACAAGCGGUGGAGCAUGUGGUUUAAUUCGAUGCAACGCGAAAAACCUUACCUACACUUGACAUACUUGGAAUCUUUUGUAAUGAAAGAGUGCCUUUUGGAGCCAAGAUACAGGUGCUGCAUGGCUGUCGUCAGCUCGUGCCG
rnacentral:rRNA from 1 species